rnacentral:lncRNA from 1 species
UAGGUUAAGUUAAAUUGUUCCUUGUUUUUUCUACAUUUUGCAUUUAAUUUUGGCCCAGUACAGCUCUCUUAGUACUCUAUUUGAGUGGUAAGGGGGCAAUCAAAAUUUAGCCACCAAGCUUACCAUACAAAAGGAAAAAAGGAGACAGUUGCUUACAGUAGCUUUACACUAUUUUCCAAUUUGAGGAUAAUUAAAUAACUGGGCUAUUCUAAACUAUGCAGACUGAGUUGGCAAGAGAUUUUCAGCAAAAUUUGGGAAUGCUUUGUAGAUCAAAUUUUUUUUCUAACUUUUACAAAAUUAUCAAAAAUAUUACCACAUUACUAUUGAUUAAAAGAAAAACCAAAAUAUUUAAAAGAAAUAAAUGCAUAAUCUUUUACUUAAAUGAAAAGCCUCCAGCAUGGAUGCAUACUAUUGAAAAUCUGCUACCCACUCUUAGUAAACUAGUUACAAUCUCUUGGCCAUUUUUUUUUCUACUAGUUUA